rnacentral:lncRNA from 1 species
GGGCAGCGAGAUUGGGUACUUUUGAGAUUAUCGUCAGUUGACGCAUAUGUUUAUAGUAGCAGUCGUUGCAUGCAUAUUUACAGUUCUUACUUUAUAGUUGUCUUGCUACUAUAGNUUGUUGCUUUUAAAAAUAUCAUUGUCAAACUCUCUCUCUCUCUCUCUCUCUCUCUCUAUAUAUAUAUAUAUAUAUAUAUAUAUAUAUAUAUAUAAAAGCGUAUAGAAAUUCCGACAAUAACAGACGGGAUCCAAAAAGGAAUAAAAUAAUAUUCCCUACGAAUAGUUAUGAUUAAUUUAUUAAAAAUAUCUCAAAUAAAAAUUAACGGUUAUGAUCAAUCUAUUAAAUAUAAAAUAAUAUUUCCUACGAAUGAUUAUAAUUAAUUUGUUAAAAAUAUGUUAAAUAAAAACGAACGGUUAUGAUCAAUCUAUUAAAUUUCUACUACAUAUAAAAAUCUAUUCCCUAUAAAUGGUUAUGACCAAUUUAUUAAAAAAAUAUCUCAAAUAAGAACAGUGAUAAUCAAUCUAUUAAAAAAUAGCAUUCGCAUCCAUCUAUAAAUUCAAUCCUAUGAAUGAUUAUAAUCAAUUUGUUAAAAAAUAUCUCAAAUUAAAACAAACGGUUAUGAUCAAUUUGUUAAAAAAUAGCAUUUCUAUUAAUCUAUUUUACAUUAAAAUUAAAUUUGAGUUUAAAUUAUAAAUUAAAUUUAAUUUUUAGAUAUCAAAUUUGAAUUAAUAAUUAAUUUUUUUAUUACAGUGGAUCAAAAUUAAAUUUUAAAUUUUAAAUUAAAUGUGAAUUAAAUUUUGAUGCUUUUAGUUUAAAACACAUAUUUAAAUUUGAUUCAUCAAAAAUCAAAAAGUAUAUAAAAAUGUUUGAUGUAUAUAAAUAAAAGAACACGGUAGGAUAUUAUAAAAAUUUUCUAAUAAAAUAUAACAUAUUUAUUUAUAAAUAUAAUUUUUAUUGUAAAAUUUUGGAUAUAUAUAAUGUACAAAUUUAUACUGAUUUGAAAUAAAUUAUAAUAAUUGUUACGUGCAUUUGCACGU